GCAAACGAACUUGGGGAGGUAACAGGGUUUAGUGCAAGAUCACCCAGCAGGUCAAUGCUUGUGCUGGAAGUGCAGUUGAAAUCUGAGGUAUUCUAGAUCAGAGCCUUCUCUGCUGCAUCUCACUGCCAUGCUCAAGCCAUUGAUGGAGACAUUCAGCUGUCUGGAUUAUUCUGAGAUCUUUGAAGAAUAAGACAUGUUCUGUAAAGACAACUGCAAGAAUGGAAGAUAUGCAGCAUAUGCUGCACUCAAGAACUUCACUCUUGUGAUAGAUGCUGUUCCCGUCCCAGAAACCUACAUGAUCAGUUGGUCAAGGGGGACAUCUCUCCCCACAGCCAACAUGCCUCAGGAGGGAAUCGCUGCCUCGGGAGCAGGAGCUCCGGGUUGCAGAGCUGCCGCUUUCCUGUCACCAGCUGGGACACCACUGUCAGGGUCCCUCCCUCCCUUGAGACAAUACAUACAGCUCUGCAGCCCUGGUGCAAGGCAGGUAAGUAACAGAAUAGCAAUAAAAUAACAUUUUUCAAAGUACUUCAGAUGCCCAAACAAUGCUCUUAGGCAGCUGAGCUGGCCCUCAAAAAAGCUGUGUGAAGAGCUAUGGUUAGAAACUGCACCGGAGCCCUCCACAGCUCCUCAGGACUUCGCCAUGGGUAUUGGUUGUGUCUGUCUGUGGAUCUCCACCUACUCCACAAAACGAACAGUGUUAACACCUCUGUGAAAGUAAUUUUUUUUGUAGAAUUACUAAGUCAGUUAACCACAAUGACAGAGGUAAAAAUGCCAGGUAUGUCUCUCUGUAGUUCUGAGCAUCUAUGAGGAGAUGAGUGACAGGGCGAGGUCAGCAAUUCAAACGUUGUUCAGAGGUAUCACACCAUGGGGUAAAAAAGCAAUAGUAGACUGCAAGAAGGAAACUUUUUUUUUAUUUAAAAGAAAUU